rnacentral:rRNA from 1 species
UGUUAGCGGCGGACGGGUGAGUAACACGUGGGUAACCUGCCUGUAAGACUGGGAUAACUCCGGGAAACCGGAGCUAAUACCGGAUAGUUCCUUGAACCGCAUGGUUCAAGGAUGAAAGACGGUUUCGGCUGUCACUUACAGAUGGACCCGCGGCGCAUUAGCUAGUUGGUGGGGUAAUGGCUCACCAAGGCGACGAUGCGUAGCCGACCUGAGAGGGUGAUCGGCCACACUGGGACUGAGACACGGCCCAGACUCCUACGGGAGGCAGCAGUAGGGAAUCUUCCGCAAUGGACGAAAGUCUGACGGAGCAACGCCGCGUGAGUGAUGAAGGUUUUCGGAUCGUAAAGCUCUGUUGUUAGGGAAGAACAAGUGCGAGAGUAACUGCUCGCACCUUGACGGUACCUAACCAGAAAGCCACGGCUAACUACGUGCCAGCAGCCGCGGUAAUACGUAGGUGGCAAGCGUUGUCCGGAAUUAUUGGGCGUAAAGGGCUCGCAGGCGGUUUCUUAAGUCUGAUGUGAAAGCCCCCGGCUCAACCGGGGAGGGUCAUUGGAAACUGGGAAACUUGAGUGCAGAAGAGGAGAGUGGAAUUCCACGUGUAGCGGUGAAAUGCGUAGAGAUGUGGAGGAACACCAGUGGCGAAGGCGACUCUCUGGUCUGUAACUGACGCUGAGGAGCGAAAGCGUGGGGAGCGAACAGGAUUAGAUACCCUGGUAGUCCACGCCGUAAACGAUGAGUGCUAAGUGUUAGGGGGUUUCCGCCCCUUAGUGCUGCAGCUAACGCAUUAAGCACUCCGCCUGGGGAGUACGGUCGCAAGACUGAAACUCAAAGGAAUUGACGGGGGCCCGCACAAGCGGUGGAGCAUGUGGUUUAAUUCGAAGCAACGCGAAGAACCUUACCAGGUCUUGACAUCCUCUGACAACCCUAGAGAUAGGGCUUUCCCUUCGGGGACAGAGUGACAGGUGGUGCAUGGUUGUCGUCAGCUCGUGUCGUGAGAUGUUGGGUUAAGUCCCGCAACGAGCGCAACCCUUGAUCUUAGUUGCCAGCAUUCAGUUGGGCACUCUAAGGUGACUGCCGGUGACAAACCGGAGGAAGGUGGGGAUGACGUCAAAUCAUCAUGCCCCUUAUGACCUGGGCUACACACGUGCUACAAU